rnacentral:lncRNA from 1 species
GGGACAGGCUCACCUGGAGAAGGGAGAGCAGGAAUUUCACAUUGAGCUGGGGAGAGCUAAUUGCAGUGUGAAACCAAAAAUCCCUCAUGAAUGAAUGGGAAUGGGGUGAUGCUCACCCUGCCAGCAGCACCACUGAAAAGUUGUGGGUGUAGGAUUUACAUCCAGCAGUCAGGAGCGUUUGAAAUCCCAAUUCACUUUGGUUUUGUUUGGUUGUUCUCUUCAGCCCAGCUCCACUCCUGCUCUGUUCAGACCAGGAUCAUUGUUCAGUUGUUCCAUUGCUGACCCCGUCUCCUCCUCCUCCUCCUCACAGGUGUGCUGUUCAUCCUUCACUGGUUGUUUUCUCUUUAUGGUUCCAGUUGAACUGAACGGUUUGAAAUGGAUGUUUCAGCCCAAACCCCACUGCUGAGGGCUUGGGCUGAUUUGGUUUCUUCUCCACUGAACUUCCCUUGGACUUUGUGAUCAGGAAUGAGCCAAGCCUCGGGAUGAGGAUGGGCUGUGGAUGCAGGAACCCUGGGGAAUGAUCAGCUCUGCCUGCCAGCCCUGCUCCUGGACAGCCUCUGGGUGAGGUUCAUUAAUCAAGGCCUGUGUUAAUUAAGGAAUGCAGUGAUUAAUGCCUGAGGCAGAGGUUGCUGUUAACUCUCCCCUCUGCUCAUGAGCAGACCCUCAAGGACAGUUCCACACAAGCAGAAUCCUGGUUUCAGUUUUAUUUUGAUGCUCUUUGUUUUCGGUUGCAAGUUGGAAAUACUUCCCAGCAAUCCAUAGGAAAGUUUCCAAAUGAAUUGUCUCAGGCUCGUGUGUGAAAUCCAGCACUGUGUAUAUUUUCAGGAAUGUUGCUUUGUUUCUCAUCUUUCCUUAUUUUUAUUUUUUUUGGUUCAUUGGUUUAUUGGAAGCAAAUACAAAAAUACAGAGGCACAUAAAUCCUUUCUGCUCUCAUUCCUCACAUCCACAGCCUGCCAGACAUUCAGGUUUUCAUCACUAAAAUGCUCAUUCUCUAAAUAGAUUCUCUAUAGAAAACAUUUGUUUUUUAGGCAAUUAAUAGCAUAGAAAAUACUGUUAGAGGAAUUCUUGGCUUUCCCAGUGUUCAGGAUCCAGCAGGAUCCCAGCAUGGACAAAAUAAGCUUUAAAAAUCCUUCCCUGUUAGGACUGCAAAUCUAACCAGUAGAUUCAAAAACAAACAGAAAAUCAUAAAAACCCCUCUGGCAGAAUCACCCUGCUGGCUGUGACCUCAGCAUGGCGCAGUCAGAGCACACGGGGGAGAAAAAAGGGAU